AAAAAGGGCGUCUGUUGUUCUUUUUUGGCUAAGACAUAACACGCGGGUACUUUGUUUUCAAUCGAAAACACCGCGCGGAAUGAUUAUCGAGACAUUUCGGACGCAUAAUCUUUGAAAAUCGGAGCAGUUGAUUUAUUGUAUCGACGCUCCA
rnacentral:snRNA from 1 species